UACAGAGGGGGGCAAGCGUUAUUCGGAAUUAUUGGGCGUAAAGGGCGCGUAGGCGGCCUGGCAAGUGGAUGGUGAAAUCCCUCGGCUUAACCGAGGAACUGCCAUCCAGACUGCUUGGCUUGAGACCGGGAGAGGUGAGUGGAAUUCCCAGUGUAGCGGUGAAAUGCGUAGAUAUUGGGAGGAACACCAGUGGCGAAGGCGGCUCACUGGACCGGUACUGACGCUGAGGCGCGAAAGCGUGGGGAGCAAACGGG
rnacentral:rRNA from 1 species